ensembl:misc_RNA predicted gene, 23098
AGAAGAGGCCUGUCCAGCUGUGAUACCUGUCGCCACUUGGAUAACUAGGAUUGAUGUGGAUCAUCUGUGGGCCUAAGGUUUUCCCUUCGUCAGUGCUCAUGCAUGGCCCUUGCAAGCCGCACUCAAUUGAAGAAGACAACCUUUCCUAACAGGAGGGGACAACUCUUUGGUCUAGGGCAUGUGAAGAUCUGAGUUCUCCUGCCAGAACCUCUUAAGAAGUACUCGAGGUAAGUGCCCUACUACUGAGUUAAAGCUAUAACCCCCUAGAAUAGGUUGCAACCAGUGUUUUCUGCAUUUUG